rnacentral:RNase_P_RNA from 1 species
GGUAAACCCCGCGAGUGAGAAACCCAAAUUUGGUAGGGGCACUCUCUAGAAGGAACUGAACGGAAUAGAGGGACGGAGCAAUCCGUAGACAGAUGAUUACUACUCAGUUGUACGAGGCUAACGCCGCUUGAGUACUUGAGGACAAAACAUGGCUUACAAGG